rnacentral:rRNA from 1 species
UACGUAGGGGGCAAGCGUUGUCCGGAUUUAUUGGGCGUAAAGAGCGUGUAGGCGGCUUGGUAGGUCCGCUGUGAAAACUCGAGGCUCAACCUCGAGAUGUCGGCGGAAACCACUUGGCUAGAGUCCGGAAGAGGAGAGUGGAAUUCCUGGUGUAGCGGUGAAAUGCGCAGAUAUCAGGAAGAACACCAUAGUGGCAAGGCAGCUCUCUGGGACGGUACUGACGCUGAGACGCGAAAGCGUGGGGAGCGAACAGG